GACGAACGCUGGCGGCGUGCUUAACACAUGCAAGUCGAACGGAAAGGCCCUGCUUUUGUGGGGUGCUCGAGUGGCGAACGGGUGAGUAACACGUGAGUAACCUGCCCUUGACUUUGGGAUAACUUCAGGAAACUGGGGCUAAUACCGGAUAGGAGCUCCUGCUGCAUGGUGGGGGUUGGAAAGUUUCGGCGGUUGGGGAUGGACUCGCGGCUUAUCAGCUUGUUGGUGGGGUAGUGGCUUACCAAGGCUUUGACGGGUAGCCGGCCUGAGAGGGUGACCGGCCACAUUGGGACUGAGAUACGGCCCAGACUCCUACGGGAGGCAGCAGUGGGGAAUAUUGCACAAUGGGCGGAAGCCUGAUGCAGCAACGCCGCGUGCGGGAUGACGGCCUUCGGGUUGUAAACCGCUUUCGCCUGUGACGAAGCGUGAGUGACGGUAAUGGGUAAAGAAGCACCGGCUAACUACGUGCCAGCAGCCGCGGUGAUACGUAGGGUGCGAGCGUUGUCCGGAUUUAUUGGGCGUAAAGGGCUCGUAGGUGGUUGAUCGCGUCGGAAGUGUAAUCUUGGGGCUUAACCCUGAGCGUGCUUUCGAUACGGGUUGACUUGAGGAAGGUAGGGGAGAAUGGAAUUCCUGGUGGAGCGGUGGAAUGCGCAGAUAUCAGGAGGAACACCAGUGGCGAAGGCGGUUCUCUGGGCCUUUCCUGACGCUGAGGAGCGAAAGCGUGGGGAGCGAACAGGCUUAGAUACCCUGGUAGUCCACGCUGUAAACGGUGGGUACUAGGUGUGGGGUCCAUUCCACGGGUUCCGUGCCGUAGCUAACGCUUUAAGUACCCCGCCUGGGGAGUACGGCCGCAAGGCUAAAACUCAAAGGAAUUGACGGGGCCCCGCACAAGCGGCGGAGCAUGCGGAUUAAUUCGAUGCAACGCGUAGAACCUUACCUGGGUUUGACAUGGAUCGGGAGUGCUCAGAGAUGGGUGUGCCUCUUUUGGGGUCGGUUCACAGGUGGUGCAUGCCUGUCGUCAGCUCGUGUCGUGAGAUGUUGGGUUAAGUCCCGCAACGAGCGCAACCCUUGUUCACUGUUGCCAGCACGUUAUGGUGGGGACUCAGUGGAGACCGCCGAGGUCAACUCGGAGGAAGGUGGGGAUGACGUCAAGUCCUCAUGCCCCUUAUGUCCAGGGCUUCACGCAUGCUACGAUGGCUGGUACAGAGAGUGGCGAGCCUGUGAGGGUGAGCGAAUCUCGGAAAGCCGGUCUCAGUUCGGAUUGGGGUCUGCAACUCGACCUCAUGAAGUCGGAGUCGCUAGUAAUCGCAAAUCAGCAACGCUGCGGUGAAUACGUUCCCGGG
rnacentral:rRNA from 1 species